CACAAUAAUAGUUUAUAAGUAGAGGAAUCCUGCUCCCCAAGCUAGGAAGUGGGGCAGCCCAGUGCAGACAUGUGACCCUGGACCUGCAGUUCACUCCAGUAAAACUCAGUACAAAACCUGAGCAUUUCCAUUCACCCUUCCAGGGUCAUCACCAGAAUUCAGUCAUUAAUAAUGAUGGGGAGAGCCCUGUUGUAUUUGCCCACUAGCACUAACCUCUGUUAGUUUCCUUUCGGCGUCACAACUGUACUGACCCUAGGGCUCCCAGGAGUCUUGUGCCACCUGCCCUGUUCUAUGUCUUGCAGACGCAUUUCAUGCAGGCGUUGGCUCAGAGCAGAAAGAGACUACCCUUGUGCCCUGUGGUCCGGGUUGGGAGCAGUCAGCUGCGGGUCUGGACUGUUCUGCUGAUGGGACCUUUUCAAAGUUGCUGGAAUCCAGUUCCCCUCAGGCUGUGCUUGGCAAAUCCCAGUGCCCACCAGUUUCCACAUCCCAUCUGGAGGAAAUCCAGGCCUUGGGACACAGCCAGGUGCUGGAGAAUCCACUAAGCGAUCCCAUGACCAGUGACACAUUCUGGGCAGCAUGGCUACUCUUUGAAUUCUCGGUCGGUGGUCGACUGUAACUUGCAUAGCAAGACUUUGUAUGAUGGUCUGCAGUUCUGCAGUGAUUGCCCCUUUCUCGCCAAAAGAGGCAGUCAGAUAACACAGUGUAGUUAACUGGGAAAGGAGACCUUUUCUAAUUGUUACCAAGUUCAUUUUGGCUACAGUUUUAUCAAGAGUUUCAAAAGUAACAAACAAAAGCAAUGCUCCCUGAGGUUCUUGCAUAUCACAGACUUUAACUGGGACAAUUUGAAGCUGCGUAGCCCGUUGCAAGUAUUUAGUCACUGGUUCUAUGGAAGUUAAAUUGUUCAGGUCACUCCGUAUUCAUAACUGUGUAUCUGGACGAGAUGGUUCUGGGUCCCUUUAUUAUUGUUGUUGAUGAAGUUGUGUAAAAAGCCCCUCAAUUCAAAGGGAGUAAAACCUCAGAAAUGUCAUCUACAGUGUGGAUGCCCUGUGGGUUUGUUAGGGCUGGAGAAUUUGGGACCUAGCUGAGCCUUGAUACAAAGCUGUCUCCUCUCACCUCUGCAGUUCACCUGUGCUGUGAAUUCUGGGGCACUCCAAAUCCCAUAGUGCCACAGAUCGCACAUUUUGGAGCACUAUAGAAUUCAUAGCACCCAACAAAACUGUAUUAUAGAGGAUGAGAUGGGGAAAGCCAGAGUAUCAGGGCCCAGUAGCAGGUGGACCUUGAAUUCCCCAUGAAGGUCAGAGGAAUGGAGAGGGUGGGGACAUCUGAACCCUUUCAAUCCACACUUAGAAUUCCCAACUCCAGCUGGACAGGAGCUCUGCAACUGGUCCUAAUGGUUGCCUUUCCCACAGUCUGCAGAAGCCUGAAACUGAAGGCCUGAUUCUCUACUGCCUUGCACUUACACCUGUACAAAGUGAAUGUAGAACACUGCCAUUUUCAUUUGGUAGCAUAUUAAAUUGACUUUGCGUUUAUUUUGCAGGUACACAUUGACUGCUUGAGGUGCAGGGCAGUGGAGAAGCAGUCCUUGUAUGUCCCCAAGUACCUUGCAAAGCAGCUUUUGGGUUGUGCAGCCCCAGAUUCCCUCAGACUGCAGGAGUAUGUGACCUCUAAUAGAAAUUGGUAACUGAAUUCAGCUGAAGUCUAAUACCUGAAUUUUGGGCAAAUAUCUGAGGCUCCUCACAGCUCUGAUCGGAGGAGUACACUGCUAACAAUUCCUCUAUUCAGAUACUUUUUCCCAAACCAGCCUCCAAGCCAUCUGCUUCUGCUCCCUCUCCAUUGUGUUUUUUUGUUCUAUCACAGAUCAGGAGCCCUACACUUUUCCUUUUAUCUCACCCCGGGGCUAGAAAAUGGAAAUUGUGAGAGAAAUAGGGGAGGGGAGUUCAUUUUCACCCAGGCUCAAAAACACUGAGGAGCAGAUCAUUGUUUAGCUUUUUAAGUAUUCACCACAAUUGUGUAUUUUUUUUAAAAGAUUCUGGAUCACAAAAGAGGAUCCUCCUUGCCCAGAGUCCAGGCUUAGGGUUCACUGGUGGAAGGCUGAUGUCCACAUUGACUCUCUUGUAAUGAAGUAAGUUUGCAAAUAAAGGUUAUGACUGGACCCCUCUCUCUCUGGUU
rnacentral:lncRNA from 1 species